rnacentral:rRNA from 1 species
AGCAGCCGCGGUAAUUCCAGCUCCAAUAGCGUAUAUUAAAGUUGUUGCAGUUAAAAAGCUCGUAGUUGAAUUUUGGGUUUGGCCAAUUGGUCCGUUCUUGUAACGAGUACUGGUUGGUUGGGCCUCACCGCCUGGUGAUACGUAAUGUCCUUUAUUGGGUGUUGCGAGUAGCCAGGACCUUUACCUUGAAAAAAUUAGAGUGUUUAAAGCAGGCUUAUGCCGGAAUACAUUAGCAUGGAAUAAUAGAAUAGGACGAUGAUUCUAUUUUGUCGGUUUCUAGGAGCAUCGUAAUGAUUAAUAGGGAUAGUUGGGGGCAUUAGUAUUCAAUUGUCAGAGGUGAAAUUCUUGGAUUUAUUGAAGACUAACUACUGCGAAAGCAUUUGCCAAGGAUGUUUUCAUUAAUCAAGAACGAAAGUUAGGGGAUCGAAGACGAUCAGAUACCGUCGUAGUCUUAACCAUAAACUAUGCCGACUAGGGAUCGGAUGAU